UACAGAGGUCUCGAGCGUUAGGCGGAAUCACUGGGCUUAAAGCGUGUGUAGGUGGAUCGUUAAGUACCUUGUGAAAUCCCACGGCUUAACCGUGGAACUGCUUGGUAUACUGGCGGUCUUGAGCCAGCUAGGGGCUACCGGAACAAAUGGUGGAGCGGUGAAAUGCGUAGAUAUCAUUUGGAACGCCAAUGGUGAAAACAGGUAGCUGGGG
rnacentral:rRNA from 1 species